GGGUGGUUAGCUCAGUUGGUUAGAGCGUCGGUAUGACACGCCGAAGGUCACAAGUUCGAUUCUUGUAUCGCCCA
rnacentral:tRNA from 1 species